rnacentral:lncRNA from 1 species
CUUAUAUAGAGUGCGCUGCCCCCCACAACGGUUCUGACUCAGGGGUGGAGUAGUGGCGAUUGAAUGCGGACGUUACAGGUAACGUAUGCUCUAAAUGCUAAUAGAUGCACCCGGAAACGUACGACAGUUUCCCUCCGGAGAGGUUACGACGUACCGAGUGUAUCCAGUCGGUGAGCCUGGUGUCCUCCGGAUGCUAGUUACCGACUGGAUGAUUCAGGGCCUGUUACCGACUGGAUGACGGGGAUACCUUGAUUC